rnacentral:rRNA from 1 species
UAGAGUUUGAUCCUGGCUCAGAUUGAACGCUGGCGGCAGGCCUAACACAUGCAAGUCGAGCGGCGGACGGGUGAGUAAGGUAUGGGGAUCUGGCCGAAGGCGGGGGAUAACCACUGGAAACGGUGGCUAAUACCGCAUAAUCUCUAAGGAGCAAAGUGGGGGACUUUCGGGCCUCACACCUUCGGAUGAACCCAUAUGAGAUUAGCUAGUAGGUGGGGUAAAGGCUCACCUAGGCUACGAUCUCUAGCUGGUCUGAGAGGAUGAUCAGCCACACUGGGACUGAGACACGGCCCAGACUCCUAGGGGAGGCAGCAGUGGGGAAUAUUGCACAAUGGGCGCAAGCCUGAUGCAGCCAUGCCGCGUGUAUGAAGAAGGCCUUCGGGUUGUAAAGUACUUUCAGUCGUGAGGAAGGUGUUAGGGUUAAUAGUCUUAGCAAUUGACAUUAGCGACAGAAGAAGCACCGGCUAACUCCGUGCCAGCAGCCGCGGUAAUACGGAGGGUGCGAGCGUUAAUCGGAAUUACUGGGCGUAAAGGGCACGCAGGCGGUUAGUUAAGUUGGAUGUGAAAUCCCCGGGCUUAACCUGGGAAUGGCAUUCAAGACUGGUUAGCUAGAGUCUUGUAGAGGGGGGUAGAAUUCCAUGUGUAGCGGUGAAAUGCGUAGAGAUGUGGAGGAAUACCGGUGGCGAAGGCGGCCCCCUGGAUAAAGACUGACGCUCAUUUGCGAAAGCGUGGGGAGCAAACAGGAUUAGAUACCCUGGUAGUCCACGCUGUAAACGAUGUCGAUUUGGAGGUUGUGGUCCUGAACUGUGGCCUCCGGAGCUAACGCGUUAAAUCGACCGCCUGGGGAGUACGGCCGCAAGGUUAAAACUCAAAUGAAUUGACGGGGGCCCGCACAAGCGGUGGAGCAUGUGGUUUAAUUCGAUGCAACGCGAAGAACCUUACCUACUCUUGACAUCCAGAGAAUCCUUUAGAGAUAGAGGAGUGCCUUCGGGAACUUUGAGACAGGUGCUGCAUGGCUGUCGUCAGCUCGUGUUGUGAAAUGUUGGGUUAAGUCCCGCAACGAGCGCAACCCUUAUCCUUUGUUGCCAUCGAUUCGGUCGGGAACUCAAAGGAGACUGCCGGUGAUAAACCGGAGGAAGGUGGGGAUGACGUCAAGUCAUCAUGGCCCUUACGAGUAGGGCUACACACGUGCUACAAUGGCGUAUACAGAGAGAGGCGAGCCUGCGAGGGGAAGCGGAACUCAGAAAGUACGUCGAAGUUCGGAUUGGAGUCUGCAACUCGACUCCAUGAAGUCGGAAUCGCUAGUAAUCGCGGAUCAGCAUGUCGCGGUGAAUACGUUCCCGGGCCUUGUACACACCGCCCGUCACACCAUGGGAGUGGGUUGCAAAAGAAGUAGGUAGCUUAACCUUCGGGAUGGCGCUUACCACUUUGUGAUUCAUGACUGGGGUGAAGUCGUAACAAGGUAACCGUA